rnacentral:tRNA from 1 species
GCCUGGGUGGCUCAGUUGGUUGGGCAUCUGACUUCAGCUCAGGUCAUGAUCUCGCAGUUCGUGAGUUCGAGCCCCAUGAUCUCGCAGUUCGUGAGUUCGAGCCCCACGUCUGGCU